AUUGUAUCCACGAUUGGGGAAUUUUCCGCAAUGGGCGAAAGCCUGACGGAGCAAUACCGCGUGAGGGAGGAAGGCUUUUGGGUUGUAAACCUCUUUUAUCAGGGAAGAAGACAGUGACGGUACCUGAUGAAUUAGCAUCGGCUAACUCCGUGCCAGCAGCCGCGGUAAUACGGAGAAUGCAAGCGUUAUCCGGAUUUAUUGGGCGUAAAGGGUCCGCAGGUGGUUAUACAAGUCUGCUGUUAAAGCGCAGGGCUUAACUCUGUAACGGCGGUGGAAACUGUGUAACUAGAGAGUGGUAGGGGUAGCGGGAAUUCCCAGUGUAGCGGUGAAAUGCGUAGAUAUUGGGAAGAACACCAGCGGCGAAAGCGCGCGACUGGGCCACGACUGACACUGAGGGACGAAAGCUAGGGGAGCGAAAGGGAUUAGAUACCCCUGUAGUAAUCGUGGAUACAAU
rnacentral:rRNA from 1 species